UGGGGAAUUUUGGACAAUGGGCGAAAGCCUGAUCCAGCAAUGCCGCGUGUGUGAAGAAGGCCUUCGGGUUGUAAAGCACUUUUGUCCGGAAAGAAAUCCUUGGCUCUAAUACAGUCGGGGGAUGACGGUACCGGAAGAAUAAGCACCGGCUAACUACGUGCCAGCAGCCGCGGUAAUACGUAGGGUGCAAGCGUUAAUCGGAAUUACUGGGCGUAAAGCGUGCGCAGGCGGUUUGCUAAGACCGAUGUGAAAUCCCCGGGCUCAACCUGGGAACUGCAUUGGUGACUGGCAGGCUAGAGUAUGGCAGAGGGGGGUAGAAUUCCACGUGUAGCAGUGAAAUGCGUAGAGAUGUGGAGGAAUACCGAUGGCGAAGGCAGCCCCCUGGGCCAAUACUGACGCUCAUGCACGAAAGCGUGGGGAGCAAACAGGAUUAGAUACCCUGGUAGUCCACGCCUAACC
rnacentral:rRNA from 1 species